ACAACACCAAUGGCUGGAAAAUCAGACUCUGGAAGGCGUUUUCGCAAAUCUUUCAAUGAUUGCAGCCACAAUACAGAAACUACAUAUAUUCUCAUCGAUGGGGGUCUCUUCGGUAACGCUCUUGCAUCGCAUCGAUUUUCUUCGAUCCAUCCUCUCGGGAAAUUGGCAAAUAUAAUUCAAUGUGUCAAGUAAAAAUCGUGUGUAAAAAAUUAUAGUUAUAGUCUUUUUUUUUUUGAA